UAAUCCUACGGGGGGCAGCAGUGAGGUUUAUUGGUUUUUGGGGUUACGCCUGAACCAGCCAAGUCGCGUGAGGGAAGACUGCCCUAUGGGUUGUAAACCUCUUUUGUCAGGGAGCAACGCCGGCUACGCGUAGCCGGACUGAGAGUACCUGAAGAAAAAGCAUCGGCUAACUCCGUGCAAGCAGCCGCGGUAAUACGGAGGAUGCGAGCGUUAUCCGGAUUUAUUGGGUUU
rnacentral:rRNA from 1 species